rnacentral:lncRNA from 1 species
CACAGUCUGGCUCAGCUCCCAGACUUGCCACCCAUGAGAAUGAGCCACCUUGGAAGUAGAUCCUCCAGCCCCCAAUAAAGCUGACUCAGCCAGCAUCUCAUAGAGCACAGACAUGCUGUCUCUGCUAAGCUCCAGCCAGACUCAAGAUUCAUGAGCAAAAUAAAUAAUCAUUGUUAUUUUAAGCCAUAGGGCUCUCUUCCAAGCUUGUGGACGGCCACCUCCUCACUGUGUCCUCACGUGGCUUUUCUUCUGCGGGGGUGGGGGGGUUUGAAUGUGUUUGCACUUGCUUUUCUAGUUCUUUUAAUUGUGAUGUUAGUAGAGCUUUAUUUCAGUGUUUCAGAAAGCACAUCUAAGGAGAAGACAAGCCACAUAUAUUUUAAUCACACCUCUACCCUGUCUGAAUCUUCUGUCAAAUGUACCUGUCAGCGGGCCAACCAAAGUGAUAAGGUACUCAUUGUCUUUAGAAAUUAAAAAAAAUUAUAAUUACAAUACAGUCUGAUUAGAAACCCACCAGAAUACCUAAAAUUAGAAAGACUGGCAACAUUCAAGUGCUGAUGAGAAUGUAGAACAGGGAUUGGCCAGCUGUUCCUGUAAAGGGCCAGAUAGUAAUUUUCUUAGGCCUCGUAGUCAAGAGACAACAUUUAGGAUAUUAUGAAGGCAGGCACUUAUAUAACACGAGAAACUCUUGACUUUCUCCACCACAUUUGACUGACGUGGACCAGUGAGGUGGUGGGAAGGCUUUGUCCUAGUUGUGGUUGGCUGGAAACUACCUGAAGGAAGAGGAAUGGGUCUGAGGGGUCCCGACGGGGAGGAGAAG